rnacentral:rRNA from 1 species
GCUCAGGAUGAACGCUGGCGGUAUGCUUAACACAUGCAAGUCGAACGAAUGUUUUCGAACAUUAGUGGCGGACGGGUGAGUAACGCGUGAGAAUCUGCCUAUAGGUUGGGGACAACAGAUGGAAACGUCUGCUAAUACCCAAUGUGCCGAGAGGUAAAAGCUUUAGUGCCUGUAGAUGAGCUCGCGUCCGAUUAGCUAGUUGGUUAGGUAAAAGCUGACCAAGGCGACGAUCGGUAGCUGGUCUGAGAGGAUGAUCAGCCACACUGGGACUGAGACACGGCCCAGACUCCUACGGGAGGCAGCAGUGGGGAAUUUUCCGCAAUGGGCGAAAGCCUGACGGAGCAAUACCGCGUGCGGGACGAAGGCUUUUGGGUCGUAAACCGCUUUUGUUAGGGAAGAAGAACUGACGGUACCUAACGAAUCAGCAUCGGCUAACUCCGUGCCAGCAGCCGCGGUAAUACGGAGGAUGCAAGCGUUAUCCGGAAUUAUUGGGCGUAAAGCGUCCGCAGGUGGUUUAUCAAGUCUGCUGUUAAAUCGUGGGGCUUAACCCUAUAUAGGCAGUGGAAACUGAGAGACUAGAGUACGGUAGGGGUAGCGGGAAUUCCCAGUGUAGCGGUGAAAUGCGUAGAUAUUGGGAAGAACACCAGCGGCGAAGGCGCGCUACUGGGCCGAAACUGACACUCAUGGACGAAAGCUAGGGGAGCGAAAGGGAUUAGAUACCCCUGUAGUCCUAGCUGUAAACGAUGACAACUAGGUGUUGCGCG